AGAGCAAAUGCCGAUCAAGCUGUUGAUUUAUAUGGAGUUGCAGCGAGAUCUGAGGAAAUUCAAAUCUCUCUAGCAGCACCAUUUUUCCUCUAGAGAACAGUUAUUCGCCAGCCAUGAAGGCCGAUGCCUUACGCCUGCGUUUGCCGCGGCAGGUACCAGACGUCGACGGGGAGCCGCCGGCCCGCCAGGGCGGCUGAUUUCAGGGACAUCCAGCCGGCUGUCGGGAUCGGGCCUUGCAGCCGCUCGAUCAGCGCAAGCGAGAUCACAAGCGGAGCGUCGAGCGACUUGGCCAGGGUUUCGAGUCUCUGCGCCACGUUCACCGC
rnacentral:sRNA from 1 species